ACAGCAGCCGCCGCGGGAAAACGAAGGGUGCAAGCGUUACUCGGAAUUACUGGGCGUAAAGCGUGCGUAGGUGGUGGUUUAAGUCCGUUGUGAAAGCCCUGGGCUCAACCUGGGAAUUGCAGUGGAUACUGGGUCACUAGAGUGUGGUAGAGGAUAGUGGAAUUUCCGGUGUAGCAGUGAAAUGCGUAGAGAUCGGAAGGAACAUCUGUGGCGAAGGCGACUAUCUGGGCCAACACUGACACUGAGGCACGAAAGCGUGGGGAGCAAACAGGAUUAGAUACCCCUGUAGUCCCUGUCUCUUAUAC
rnacentral:rRNA from 1 species